GCUUCAGUCACCUGUCAGUCAGCUAAGUUCUGCCAGCCUAGUGAGCUACACAUCUCUUGUCUUCCAGGAGGUUAACCCGAGCUUGUAUGCAUGGCUGUGCAGGAUUUCAAGUUGUUUUCGUUUCAGGUAACAGAAAGUGACUAAUUGGUUAAAACAGAAGACAGCUAUUGGGAGAGUCCUUGUUGUUUCAAGGAAUCCAAGGAAGAGAUGAGCAAGUACAUCUCAAGAGCUGCAAGAAGCCAAACGCUCUAUAGAGCUUGCAUUGAGUUUGCAUCUUCACUAACUCCUAGUCUCUGGGUCUUUUUUGGGUCCAAAAUUCCAGAUUUUUACAAGAACUUGAUUGGCCCAGGAUCUGGACAUGUCCUGCAAAUUGUGGUGACAGACACCUCUCUGCCUUCCUCUGGUCACCACUGCUGGAAUGAAUAGAGUUGAGCUGUGUGCAGCAGGAUGCCUCCAGAGACGUGCAAGCCAGACAUGAGGUGAGGGCAGGAUUCACUCGUUCUCAGGAAACUUGUCCCACAAUUAAACAGCAAGAGUGCCAAUAGGUGGGAGGAUUCCGACUUCUUCAGGUGAACAGCUUGCCUCGUCUUGGCUUGGGCACACUUUAGAGGAACAAUUGUUUUGUAGAGGGGUGGCCGUUCUGGAAACCAAGUCUAAUGGCUGGUGUGGAUGUGGAGAGUCAGGAAUCAGCCAUUGCUUCAGGGACUGUGGAAGAGGGUCCAAGAUCUCUGUGGAGUCUGAAGAGUGUGCAGGUGAACUGCAGACAACGCCAGAACUGUGCAUCCCUCUUCCUUUCCUCCCCCUACAUUUUACCUCCCUAGAGCAUUUCCACACCUACUGAUGCCUUGCACCAUGGAGAUUAAAUCUACAGACACUGGAGUCAGACAGGCUGGGUGUGCCUUCAGCCACUGCCCCUUUCUAAUGAAGUGAGCUUAGGUGAAUUAUCUCACCUCUCUGAACCUCAGUGUUGUCUUAAAAAACAUGGAUAUAAUUGUAAUCAUGUCAUUGGGUGGGUGGUUGUGCAAAUGAGAUAAUGAAUAUGAAUCACCAAGCCUAUAGUGGAUGCUCAAUAAAUGGCAGUUGCUUUUA
rnacentral:lncRNA from 1 species